rnacentral:tRNA from 1 species
CGGGGCGUAGCGCAGCCUGGAUAGCGCACUUGAAUGGGGUUCAAGUGGUCGGAGGUUCAAAUCCUCUCGCCCCGACCA